GUCACUUGUUCAGCGCCUCACCCUCAAGCUCCAAUCUCAAGUUCAAACUCUACCUUUCGUUUCCUCAGUCUCUGUCAUGCACGGCUUAAUCUUGCUUAAUCUUAGUUGCAGUCUCUCUGGAUUCAUAUUCAGAAAUCUCCCUUAGGUCUUCACUCUGUAAGUGUCAUCUUCCUCUCCGCUUUGCUUUCUACAGCUUUUCUCCUUCUCCACAUCCUCUUGCAUAUGGUCGACUCGGGCUGUCGAAUCAAACACCAGUAAUAACGUUGCUACCUCUUAUAUAAAAUACACAUGAAGAAGAAUGCAAAACUCUAACACAAUUCAAAUAGUUGAAGAAUGAUAAACUUUUCGGCUCACCUGAUCCCAGGGGAGAAGCGACCCAGGUUCUUUUUUCAUUUUUACCUUUUGUCAACCUAUCCAUAUAUACUUAUAUCAAUCUUCAUGAUUCUGCUUUUGUUUCUCUUCAGCUGAUAAUAAGGAAAAAGAAAGAGCGAGUUUGAAAAGUCAGACACUGUUGUACUGUUGCUGUCGUAUUCAUGAUUCUAUUUUGAAUUUUUAUCUGGAUGACUAUGGGGAACCGGAAAGUGAAAAAUUUGAUAAAUAGGCAGAUCAUGAUACGGUGUGGUAUGGGGGAUCGGGAUGGUGGUGUCGUGCAUCUCAUGUGAGGUUAAGGAAUAAAAAGCGCAAGAGAACUAGGCUGAGAGAACCUUAUUAUUUAGCCCACUUUUGUUUCCAGAAAUUAAAUCUCAAGCUUUGAACUUUGCCUCUAGCCUAUUCGUCAUUUAAUAAGGUGCUGCUAUGUAUAACUUGAUGAAGAUCAUGUUAUUUUAAUAAUCAGUUUGGUGUUUUUUUUCCCCAACCAUGUACUGUAAUUGAAUUAUUAUUAUUAUUAUUUUUACAGAUACGAUGAAUAGUUAAUGAAACGAAGAAUACUUCAAUCAUAGUUUCUUUUUUGGUUUGAUCUUAAGAUUCCAUUUAUCAGUGAGAAAAUGGUCAGGUUUCGAGAUCAUGGGAGAACAAAAGGGAAAGAGAAACCAGAGUUCUUUCGAUCUAAGUACAGAUAUUCGUCCUGUUUGUUUUGUGGGUCAAAGUAACAUCAGUUAGAAGCAUCAUUUGGUUCAGAAAAAUAGUUGUAUGGGCUUGGCCACUUUAAGCUGGGUUUCCUAUUGACUUACAAAACAUAUGCAAGCUUGAUCAUUUGUACCUGCCUCCCUGGGGUCUUGGAACUAACACACUUACGCUUGAACAAGAAGGUAAGUACCUUCAUUUGUAUAAAUUAUUCAAAGUUCUAAACGAGCUUACACUUAAUUGCAGCCAAGGUGUAUCACAAAGACCUUAAACCCAAGAAUAUAUUGGCAAAUGCAAAUUGCAAACUCAAAGUUUGUGAUUUUGGACCGGUCAGAGUUAUAUUCAAUGAUGCCCCGACAACAAUAUUUUGGACAGUCCAGUGGUAGUUGCUUGGUCAUCGCUUUGGAAAUGCUAAUGGGAUGGCUCCUCGUUCACAGAAGGAGUUAGAACUGAGUCGAAAGACAAGAAGUUCGAUCUAUUUAAGCUCCUGUUCAACCACUUGAGCAACCAUUCUAUUGGAUUUCUAGUGACUGGCUUCGCAACAUUAGUCCAAGUGCUCUUGACAAUGCAUCCAUUCAAUGCUCACACGGCAAAGUUCCUGUAUCCAACGUUAAUUCAAUGAAGCAAUUGUCUGAUAAAGCCUGGGAUAAAUUGUUUUCGAAGGCACUUUAUGUUAAAUUAUCUGUCAUGUGCUUGGAUAGAUGCUCUCCUUAUUAAUGUAUCAAUUAUGAUGCCUUUGUCUUAUUCAUGUGUUUGAAUUAUAUACAGAUGUAUACGCACAAUUGGUUCAGUAUGAGACCAAAGGGCUAAGGAAAUGAAGAACUUGCAUGAGCAAGUUCGUACAUGAAUAUAGAAGUAGAACUUGUGAUACAAAACUAAACAUGA